GCUUCAGUGGCCUAGAGGAUAGAGCGUCCGCCUUGGAUGCAGAAGGUCGUGGGUUCGAUUCCCGGUCGAGUCA